CUGGAAUCAACAUAUUUAUGGUUAUUUUUCGAUCACCUCGUAAUUUAGUAAAUGUUUUCAUCAUGUUUGUAGGAGAAAUGUGUUUUGUUAGUUGAAUAUAUUUGCUUUUACAUAAACAUAGAAGAAAAAGAAAAGUUGGGCCAUAAUUUGUACUAAAAAUACAAAUCAGUGCUAAUUCAAAAGCAUUAAAAAUUUGGAUAAAUGUUGCAGAUCUCAUUAGAUUUUUAGAAUCUCUUCUAUUGGAACUUUUAAUUAAUUUUAAUUGCAUUUAAAAUAUGGCCAACUAGGGAAUGGCCAACAUACCAAGCCAAAAUCUACAUUUUUGAAUACAUCAUUAGCAGAUAAACCUCUUUAGAGAGCCGAUUUAAAGUCAGGCACAUCCAUGGGCAGCCCAGUGCUGCUGUUGUUCCUGGAAAACGUCUGCUUAAUAAAUGCUCUAAAACAUAGUUUCCAGCUGAAAUGGCUUUUUAAUUUUUUCCUGCUUAUAUUUGCUACUUGGUCCGUUUACAGAUUUGUUUGAUUAACUUUGAAUAAAUGUUUGAUUUUAUUAUUGAUCAGAAAAAUAACUCAGAGUUCAGAGACUGGAUAGGUUCAAAAAUGUUGUGGUGAAGAAAUGGUCUAGAAACUGAGCGUAAAAAUUGCCCCAAAAGGUCAGCAUCGGUAUCGGCAAUGAACAACCCCACAUCGGUGGAUCUGUAUGACUAACGGUAACCAUGGUGAUAAACUGAGACGCUCUAGGUAACAGAAACAGCUUUCUGUUUACCUCUCAGUCACAGGAGUAAAUGUCAGAAUCUAGCACCAGACUUUUAAAACAGCGUUUUGUCCUCUGAUGAGGAUUAUUUCUAACUUCUCCAUCUAGUCAUCAGGGGGACUUGCAGUUUCACGCCCAUUCCCUCUCUUCCCUCUCCUGCAGCCAUUGGCCGAGGGGGACGGAGUCAUGGAGGAGUUAUUUGUGGGUGGGGUGGCUGCAGGAGAGUUUGUAGAGUUCUCUUACAAGUUGUGUUACAGCUGACCCUGUCCUCAACUUUGACCCCUGACCCCUACAGAGAUCUGUCAUGAGAGGGAGCUGCUUAACACAAAAUGGAGCCUGGUUCAAGAGUCAGAGCGCGCGCGAGAGAGAGAGCCAGGCGGAGAGGGCUUUACCACUCACAGUGGACUCAUUUAUCCUCUCCAUCGCCUCUCUGGGAUUUUUCCACUCCUCUCCUUUGCUUUCUCUUUUGUUUUUGCUGCAGGAACUCUGUUGCUCUUUAUUUCCUGUACAUCCCUUCUCCUUCCUCCUGUUUGUCCUCCCCUCCCCUCAUCUUCUCGCCGUGUUCUGGUUGACUUUUGGAACAACAGCAUGCCGUCACCACCACAGGCAGGGACUCAUGGCGGCAGGAAGCAGCAGGAUUCUGGGAGGGAAUUUGGAGGGACGAUCCUUUAAUGAGAGCGAGGCCUCAUCAGCUGGAGAAAUGUAUGCUAAUGAUAUGCACACACCAAAAGGAGCCUGGGUAGGCAAGGCAGGCGCUGGCCGAGCUCCCGCUGGGCUCUGAGGAGGAUGAGCGGCUCAGGUCAGAAGAAUGGCAACACAAACACCUCCUCCUCCUCCUCCUUUCUGUUUCUUCUUUCUUCUGCUUCACCCUGCGUCCAUGAGGGCAGAGACAAAAGAAACAUGGUUAACACGGAUCUGGGAUCAAGCUUUAAAAGUUACUUUUAGUUGUUUUUCUAGUGUAAAGAAAAUAGAUGAAGAUAUUUUUAAUAAUUAAGUUAAAAUUAGAGACAUUUGGCUUUAAUUUGAGAUUAAAUUCAUGCCUAAUAUUAAUAACAUUAAUUGUAUUUUACACAUCAUAAUCAGCGUUUAUUAUGGCUGUCCUAUUAAAGGCUAACACAUGACAAGAAUUUAAAUAGGAAAAUAACGUAAAUAAUUUGUGCAAAACAGAAAAAAUUUCUUUUAAUUACUUGAUUAUAUUUUUGUCGGAUUUAUUUCUUUUAAAUGUAUCUGAAAAUCUGUUUUUCUUCAGUGUUGCUGUUUGUUUAUAUAUGAUCUAAUAAACCAAUUGUUCUUCAUAUUUUAGUUAAUGACAAAAAUAGUAAAAUAUUAUAAAAAAACUAUUUUAAAACCAUUUUAAUAGGAAAUGAUUUAUGCAAAGCUAAAAUAAAUAAAUAAAUAAAUAAAUAAAUAAAUAAAUAAACGGGAAACUGGUUCUGUGACUUGAAGUCGAACUAACAACUGAAGUCUUCUGGGUUUAUUUGCGCCAUCAGUUUCAUUCUCCUCCGCUCGGAGCUCCUGUCUCAGAUCUGUCGGUCGCUGCAACGACGGACUUUAAAAAAUCACAAGUGAAAAUAAAAAAAAAGCUAAACAUAAAUUAAGGAUGCAGCACCAGGAUGUUGGUGGCGGAGAUCGUUAAAUAUAAAAGAACCCCGUUAUUUUUAUGUAUUUGUGAUUUUUGCCUCCGUCGCCAGAGGAAACGGGAGCAGAGGAGCCAGAGCCUUCGGAGAGAAAAGGAGAGUGGCACCUGAUGAUGUCGACUCUGACACGUGUUAAUUGCUGCUCAGCUCUCCUCAUCAGGGAGGCGCAAAUUAUUUUAGCGCUCCGGGCCACAAUGCGCCUUGUUUGCGUCGGCUGAGGCGCAGCGAGCUGGUCCUGUCCCCAAAUACAAACCAAACAAAGGUUUUAAUGAAUAUUAGCUACUAUCAACAGAAUUUUACUUAUUCAAAUCGGAAAACAAAAAUAUCACAAAUAAAUUCAACAUUUGUGUUUAUUUUUCUCUGGAAAAAAUAAGAUCAGAAGAACAAAUUAAGGAUAUUAAAAUUGUUCCUUCAUUUGUCCGAUUUUAUUCCAAAAUAAAAUUCUAAGCAUUAAUUUAUUUUUGCUUAUUUUUAACAUUGAACACAAUUUAAAUUCCUGUUGUUUUAAACAUUAAAAACACAAUGAAAGAAACUAUCUACAAGAAAUAAUAUUUUCAUACGAAUUUUGUUCUUUAUUAAUCAAGCUGACUUAAUUUAAAUACAUUGCCCCUAAAUGAACACAACAGACACCAUUAUUUAUUUAAAUGCUUAUUUCUGUUUUAUUCUCAAUUAUCAGCUCUGUGAUCAGCCUCUGGUCUGUGGAUUACAUGGGGCCUGUUAGAUUAGACGGCCUUGGCAUGGUGGAUUAUAAAGUCAUUGUUAUUGUCCAGCAGCCUCUAGGUUGGCGACUUGUUUAUGACACCAGUAAUGCCAGUAAUUGUUAUUGCUGAGAUUACCUGUCAAGAGGACCAGGACAGGGGGCUUAGAGAAGGCGUUGCUCCCUUGACGAGGGGUGACGGGGGGACGGGAAGGAGGACAGGGUGAUGGGGGAAAGAGAGAUAGGGGAAUGGUGGCAGAAGGGGAGGCUGAUGACUUCUCCGCUGAUAAUCAGCCACCGCAGCCUCUGGGAUAAUUCAGCUGUCAAUGCCACCUAGCAGGGCCCAGCAUCAGGCAGCCGACCCCAGCUGGUGCCUUUCACUCAAGUGGAGGGAGGGGUGGAGGGAUGCAGGAGCAGAAGAUGGAGUGAGGACAGCGUCUUCAUCUCAUGUCAGAGUUUAAACGCUUUAAAUGAAAGCCGCCAUGCAACAUUUCAUAGAUGAGAAGAGCAUCAUCCUUCAGGUGACGCCUCCAAUUCAUGGAAUCUUCAUGAUCUGCUGCAAGUUUGAUCUUCAUUUAUUUCACUGGAAUAAUGACAAAAAAGCUUUACUUGUGAUCAUUCUCAGAUUAUCGUGUGGAUAAUAAGUGUUCCUAAUGAUAUUAGUUCAGCCCUUAAAGGGGUUCUGACUGAGAAACUGUUGUUUCUAAAGAUGAUGCUGAUGAUAAUGAGUCACAUUUAAGCACUGUUUCCACACCUGUGUAGGUUGUUGCUCAGGUGUGAACCCAGAACUCCCCAUAAGGUGUGGAAGAAGGAAACUCCCCAGAUCCAGGAUAUAUUUUCAUUAAAAUCACACCAGAUAAGCAUGUUGCAGCACUUCCCAUUAACGGUCUUGGUUCCAAAGAGGUGAAUCGCUGCUGCACCUGUCAAGAAUAACGCUUAAACGUGAAACUGCUUAAGCAGAGACCUCCUGUGAUGAAGGAGGAACGUGAGUGCCUUUGUUUGUUUUUUGUAAAUUUGUCUUAUUAAUUUUCAUCUCGUCUGAAUGUCUUUGUUUUUACUGCUUAUCUGUCUUAUUGUCACGGGCCAUGAAUCAAAAAGCAAUUACUUCAUAUCUAACUUUGCAUCUUCUCACGUUUAUUGCUGCAGUUUAAUCUUUCAUCUGGUCGACACAACGGAACAUCAUCAUCACGAUCGCCAUCGCCGUAACAACUUUACCAAGAAAAUUAUAUUAACACAGCCCCCCACCCCACCGCCCCACUUUCAUAUUAAAAUAAAGCACAAUCUCAUUUCUCGUGCAGAUGAUGGCAUCAGGCACAAAUGCAUUUAUCAGCAGACAGCACAGAAGUCAGGUUAUAAACAAUAUCAUUCAUUAUCCGGCCCAGAUGCAGCGAUUGUUGAUUAAAGGGUUUUGAAUAUAACAGCCGCACACACACACACACACACACACACACACACACACACACACACACACACACACACACACACACACAGAUGGGUGGACAUUAGGAAAGAGGAGAGGCCAUCUGAAUAGGCUGGAGGGACAUUAACGGCAACAAUGAUUGAUUUUUUCCACGCAGGCUUUUUAAUGGUAUUGUUAUUCUUCAGAGUUAUACCCCGUCCUCCCCACAACUCGACUCACAGAUAAAUGGAGGUGUAAUAAUGAAUAGAAAUUAUCCUGAUUAUUUUGGUGGAGGUGCAGGAGAGCAAGUGAGGUGUGAGUCACAAUCCAGCACCGAGCUUGAAGCCUCGUCAACAAGAUCUUUGGCAUUCACUUUGAUGUUUUAUAGACGUGCUUAAGGGGUAACAAAGAAUAAUAUACAGGCUUUUUCCAAAAAUGUAUUCAUAAUAAAAUGCUAAACAUAAUUUGUGAGGAUAUUAUGCAUUUUUGUAAAAUAAUACAUUCUGUUGUAAAGGUUUGAUCUGAACCGUCGUGCUAAGAGCCUUAAAACGUAAUUAUAAUAAGAAAUCUCACAAACUUGGUAAAAAUGUAUGCUAGCAACAUGUUUCUACAUGUUUUCCACUUUAUUUUAACACGUUUGACACAACUCAGAAUAUAUCGUCCAAAAAACACCUGGAUUCGUUUACUGACUUUUGGCUAAAAUAGCAUUAAAGGUGUGGUUCACCUGUUAAAUCAGUAUUUGCUCUAGUCUCUAGUAGGAAUGAAUGCCUUGUAAGUCGUAGUCUGGGGACACAAAGCUUCGAUGCACCACAAUCAGGAAAUAGAAGUGAGCCACAUCUCAGCUGCGCUUCAGACGAAUUUGGACAUCUUGUCUCUGAUUGGCUAACAGCAACAUGACUCUACCACUGACUCUGCUUGCUCUGCAAUGUUGAUGUUUUAUCUCCACAAGCCUGAAGAAGUCCUGCUGUGUGGUGGAGUUGCUAAUGCUAACUGUUAGCUUCUAGUAGCCAAGAUGUCCUCCGCUGUUUCCUGGAUGCUAAACCAACAACAGCCUUCUCCGUCGUGAGUCAGCAUGGGUGAGUUCGUGAACGUUAAAUGACAGCGUGACGUAGAUCUGUGACUUUCUGAGUUUCACCGUCUAUUUUGUAUCAGAUGCUAAUGCGGCAGAUAGAUGUAAGAGAUUAUUUUCAUGUUCAGCCUGCAUGAAACACUCAGAGGGACUGAUUAUAAUCAGAAAUAAUCAUUACAAAUAUUUUUCAGUGUUCAACGCCUUUAAUAGGGUGAAUAUGUGCAACAGUUGUAGUUUUCCUUCCUUACUUCUGAAGUAUGAUGAUAAUGGCUAAAGUUUAGAUCUUCUCCACCUUCGUUAUAUUGUCUAAAUGAGCUGCUUGUUUCAUUUUGCCGUAAACAUGAGAUGUAAAUAAAGCUAAAGUUCUUUUUAAAUCUCUUAACAAAAAGAGAAUUAGCUGUUCAUCAUAAUGCAAAUUAACUCUCUCUGUAAUAGUCGCUCCUUUAUCUUUAACUAUUGAGUCUUAUGUUCAGUAAAACUUAAAAAUGGUUUUAUUACUUUUUAUCUUGAACACAGAUAAAGUCACGUGACACCGGCUUCUGCAAGACGGUGCUCAACGGGCAAAGCGUAAAAUGAAAAACUUCCCGAUUUGUUUUAUAUUUUUACUACCUCAGAGCAUUUAUGAGCCACAAAAAUUAAUUAAAUUUACCCUAAAAUCAAGUUUUCUAAACACUUUAAUCUAUCUCUAAAUGUCAAAUAAAGAUCUUAACUUUGCUGUAAUUAGGAUCAAAUUAAAACACUGAUGUGGGAACAGAACUGAAACUCUCUCUUUAGAAUAUGUACUUUACUAACAAGUACCAUAAAAAGCAUGUGUUUUCUGCUUCACUGUAAAAACAAACUAACUAAAACACAACUUUGUCAUAAUAAUUACUUCUGUUGUCAUCCUUGCCCACUGAGUGGUGAUGGUGUGAACAGCUGAAGUGGACGUUUUCAAAAACACGUUGAUUUGAUGUGAGAAGCCAGAUUGUCCAAAGCAGUUGUGUUUAUGAGACUCUCCUCUGGCACCUGCUGCAGCGCUGUCCGCCUGCCAGCAUCACACACGCAGACACGCUCGCAGCCUCCUCAGCUCUCCUCUCCGUUUAGCCUCUCUCCACACAAAUGAUGGUCAUUAUCACUUCUCGAUUACAUCCACGGGCCUCAGCUGCUGUUCCUCUGCUGAAACACCAAAAAUAUGCAUUCAGCCACUGCAAACGUUUUAAAGCAUAACAUGCUGUAAAUACUGGAUGACGGUGCAUUUUUUCUUAUGUACUUUGCUGUCUUGUGUACCACCAUACCUCGGGUUUUACAGCAAAUGAAUAAAUCAUCUUUAUGCACACUAAAUCCAUAAAUGUGCUUCAUUAUUUUAGCUUUACUGAACCAUAAAAGAACUGAUCCUUUAACUGGAUCUAAUCAGAAACUUUUUUUUUCUUCAAAUUCCUUAAUUUCCAGCUUUUUCUUCUCCUCACUAGCACCAUUAUCACAUGGUCAAUGUUCCACCUAGUUCUCGCCUCUUCAUCCGUACCAACAUGUUGUGCAUCAUCCACUCCCUUCCUCUCCUGCAGCGAAAUGUUGUGAUGCCUUCCUCCAACAUCCUCCCCUCUCCACUCGCCACCCUUCUUCCACCCUCUCAGUAAUCAGGGCCAGAUGGAGGCAGAGAUGGAGUGAUGCAGGGAGGGAGGAUUGGGUUUGGUCCUAGCAGUGUCUCAGAACGUGGGGAGCUGUCAGCCCUGCAGGGAGAGAGGAAUUCUCCAGUAAUAAAACUGGGAUUUAUCACCACUCCGCCCAAGAGAAGGGAGACAUGGGUGAGGGUAUGAGGCAGAGGAACGGACAACGGAAUCGAGAAAGUCGGAUAAUAAAGGACGAUGUGGGAGAAUAGAACAGUCGUUUAAAUGAGAAACUUGCAGAAUUUUAAAGGGAGAGGAAAUGCGACUCUUCUACUAAAAUGUGUCAAACAGAUGAAAGGAGUAGAAGAAAGUUAAACCACAGUGGAUGCUGCUGGAAAGGUCCAAACUGAGAAGACAAAACAGAAAUUGCAGAAGACAGUUGCAUGAUGGCACCCACAGCAGCAGGCUGACAAAUUCUCUCCUGCCAUCUGUACAAGCGUGGAGAUCAGCGUCUGUCCUGAAUCUGAUGCCCGGUUGCGUUCAAGGGAUGUGAUGUCAAGCAAAAACGAGUCAACCUCCCCACUGGGCCAAAUGAACCUGCUAAAAUAACCGCUCCCCACAAUCGGCUGUGUAAUUGAAACCAGAAUGUGCAGGAUUUGAUGAAUUGUUUGACCCUGCAGGAAUGUUAAGGUCAUAAAUUUUUAGUGCGUUUUGGUGGUGCUGAGAUGUGCAGAGGUGCAUGUUAGGAACACCAAAGUGGGCCUGAAACUCAGAAAAAAAGAGCCGUGUGUGUUUUAAUAAUUCAAAACACAAAUGGUCCUCCGUAGUUCUGGGGUAGUGCCGAAACACGGGUCCAGUUACCCAAAUGGGUAUCAGCUUUUGGUGCAGUGAGGUUUACUCAGAUCAGUUUUCCUCUACAUAUGUUAAAUUUCACAACUGGAACAGGAACUGUGCACUGAUCAGUUAUAACAAUGACUGCAGUUACACGCACAAUGACUGACUUCUAAGUCGAUCUGCCGAUCUUAUUGUAAUGAGCUGGGAGUCUUUAUCCCAGUUUGCAUGUGCAUUAGAAAACUGGCCUCUCAGAUAAAGUUGGUUCCACUCCGGUACAGUAGAUGGCGCCACGCGUCUCUUCAUGUCGGCAUUCUUCUGGUUAGCUUAUAGCAACACAAGCAGUAAACAGAGGCUGGCGGGAGUGAAACAGGAUAUGCACAAUGGCUGAAGGAACGUACAACAACGCUGCAACACAGCUUAUUUGGUACGUACCGUCCUGUUUUAUGGUGUUACGCAUGUUGCUUUGCGACGAUGGUCUUCUCAGAAGACCGUUUCUGCGAUCUCGUCACUUCCGGAAUGCGAGCGUCUUACCGGUUUAGUUCGGCUGACCCAUUUACAACCAGAAUGCAUUUGGAUUGCUAUCGCUUUUUCUGGGUGCUUCAGCUCAAUUAGACUCAGUUUGCCUUCAGCCAGAUUAACAUGUUCAUAUGCAAUAAAAAAAACCGACGUGAGUCUUUUUAGGGCAAUACUUUGGUUUUCUGAUGCACAUGUAAACACACUGAUUGACUCAGUCCCCCGUCAACUAAGGAAUUAUGUUCUUCACCCCUUUCUCUUAGAAGAAAGCACAUCUGCAUGACUGCUGCCAAGGUACGUUUAUCAAAACGGUAAGAAUACACAGAGAAAUAAAACAGAUGCAGUAAAAGUAUCUGGCUCUGUUGUGAUGAAAACUAAUCACAUCCAAUCAUAUCUGGUUCUGAUGAGAAAUGUAAAACCACAAGUAUUAGGGUCUAGAAAAAUAAUAAAGUAUAAUAAAAACUAUCUUUGUGGUUGUCAAAAUCAAAUAAAAUAUCAUUUUGUUACAGCUUAGAAGUUAUAUUCAGCAUGCUGCCUACAUACAUAAAGUGUGAUGCAUCCUUCCAAUGGCUUGUUUUUGUUUCAUCGUUUUAUUCUAGGACUGACCAAACCUGUCAUUUCAUUACGAGACCAUUUCUGCUGCUCAGCUCAGGUUUAAAUUUUGUCUUCAAGGAAAAUAAAAUUAAACUUGUUUUACUCAGGAUUUCAAAACCUGCAAAGAUCUGGAAAUAAUUUAAAUCAAGAUAUAUGAACUUCUGUUUGUUAGUUUGGGGGGGGGGGGG